CAGGCAUGGAGGGAGGUGGCAGAGACAGUGGUGCCAAAUAGGCAGUGAUUUGCAUUGAUGUAGGCCGACUCCUUCCAACGAGCCUCCAGGAAACAGAUCCAGGAACAGGGCAGGUCUAGGGUUUUUCCAUGCAGGCAUGUCGUGUAGUUUGGGGCAGGCUCCUCAUCUGGUCCAGGAAUGAUGCCAGGAAUUCAUGAACGUCCUGUUAUUCACAAAAACACACACCUUCCUCCGCCAGCGUUUCUGGUGGCCAACUAUGCUGACAGAGCUGCCCUCAUUCGUGCCUCCAUCAGGGCCCAGUCCCAGCCCCAGUCUACACCCCAGGCCAAAAGUCCUGCCUGCUCUACUCCAGCCCCUGUAGACAGCUCUGACCCCAUCCAUUACCCAGAUCCAGAUUCCUUUCCAUCCGGCUCCCCUUCACACCACGGACUUCCGAUCUCAGCUCUGAUCCACCCAGCCUUAU